UGCCUUUCGUCGACUAAAUUUAGUCGACAGGAAACAGCAGUUUACGAGGCAGAUUCAGAUAGUUAACGUGGACUAAGAUAAAUUUUGUCUCUAUAAUGGGCGGUACCCGGCGCCUCCACCAAAAACCGGUCGGUCGAGGACCGGCUUUUGAUGGGGGCGAAAUAGGAUCGACAAGGGCGUAAAGAUCGAACUUUUGCUCGGCAUGAUACCGCCGUUAUCGGGUCACAAGUGUAGUUGCAAACGACAACAACGCUAAGGGUUAUGCUCUCGCUGCCUAAUGGCGGUGCGGGAAAUCCGACCUAAGUCCUUCUGGUUAGCACCUUGAGGCGGGGUCCGGAGGUACCUGGCAACAGAAACCUCCACU
rnacentral:tmRNA from 1 species